AAUCCAUAGGUUAAUGAGGCGAACCGGGGGAACUGAAACAUCUAAGUACCCCGAGGAAAAGAAAUCAACCGAGAUUCCCCCAGUAGCGGCGAGCGAACGGGGAGGAGCCCAGAGCCUGAAUCAGCAUGUGUGUUAGUGGAAGCGUCUGGAAAGGCGCGCGAUACAGGGUGACAGCCCCGUACACAAAAGCGCAUGUGCUGUGAGCUCGAUGAGUAGGGCGGGACACGUGGUAUCCUGUCUGAAUAUGGGGGGACCAUCCUCCAAGGCUAAAUACUCCUGACUGACCGAUAGUGAACCAGUACCGUGAGGGAAAGGCGAAAAGAACCCCGGCGAGGGGAGUGAAAAAGAACCUGAAACCGUGUACGUACAAGCAGUGGGAGCACAGGUUUACCUGUGUGACUGCGUACCUUUUGUAUAAUGGGUCAGCGACUUAUAUUCUGUAGCAAGGUUAACCGAAUAGGGGAGCCGUAGGGAAACCGAGUCUUAACCGGGCGUUAAGUUGCAGGGUAUAGACCCGAAACCCGGUGAUCUAGCCAUGGGCAGGUUGAAGGUUGGGUAACACUAACUGGAGGACCGAACCGACUAAUGUUGAAAAAUUAGCGGAUGACCUGUGGCUGGGGGUGAAAGGCCAAUCAAACCGGGAGAUAGCUGGUUCUCCCCGAAAGCUAUUUAGGUAGCGCCUCGUGAACUCAUCUCCGGGGGUAGAGCACUGUUUCGGCUAGGGGGCCAUC
rnacentral:rRNA from 1 species